rnacentral:tmRNA from 1 species
GGGGGUGAACAGGGCUCGACUUAAGGACGUCGGGUAAGAGGAGCAUGCCGCGGACGUAAGGUUUGCCGCGUUAACAAUCCUUACACAAUAUAAACGCAAGAACGAACAUCAGUUCGUUAACAGCAGAGAGAUACAACGUUGUUCCUUCAAUAAGAACAACCGUGUUUCCUGCUUUUGCGGCAGUCCUUCCUCACUAAACGAGGAAGGCCUCUAUUCAUUCAGUCCACGGGGUGAAAUAGAGCGCUAGUGGAAUAGUCCCGCGGGGCUGCCUUUGCCUGCGGGAUGAAAAUUUCAAAGGCUGCGGCCUGCGCGAUCCUGUAUAGCGGAGCGCGCGGGAGUAAGCGUAAAAGCUAUGCUGAGCAUGGAGCGCCUUUUAUCUCGAGUGCUUAGGGACUCCGGUUCGAUUCCGGACACCUCCACCA